AUCUCUUCGGAGCAUUUUACGAGGUGCUGCAUGGUUGUCGUCAGCUCGUGCCGUGAGGUGUCGGUUAAGUCCCAUAACGAGCGCAACCCCUACCUUUAGUUGCCAUCAGGUUAAGCUGGGGACUCUAAAGGAACUGCCUACGCAAGUAGUGAGGAAGCGGGGAUGACGUCAAAUCAGCACGGCCCUUACGUCCAGGGCUACACACGUGCUACAAUGGCCGAUACAGAGGGCAGCUACCUGGCGACAGGAUGCAAAUCUCCAAAGUCGGUCUCAGUUCGGAUCGGAGUCUGCAACCCGACUCCGUGAAGUUGGAUUCGCUAGUAAUCGCGCAUCAGCCAUGGCGCGGUGAAUACGUUCCCGGGCCUU
rnacentral:rRNA from 1 species